ensembl:lncRNA
CUGCGUUUCCCUGACAACGGAACUGUGACAUCAUCAAGAAAUCCUUUGAUGUGUCUCGGAACACUAGAUCAUUGCGUUUCUGGUUCCAGAAGAGUGCAGUUGGAUAUUUUCUCUUGAAAGUAUCUGCGAUAUUUGUCCUUUACAGACUUAAGUAGUUUUUUGGAAGAUUCAUCACCAUCUUUCAGAGGUUACAUCGAGUCAUUUAGCGACAAAUAAAACAGUCUUUUUCAAGACUACACCCCUUUUCAGGGCUGACCAACAGUCUUUUUCAAGACUACACAAGUGUCAUUUAACAUGUACCGUAGAAACAACCAGAGAAUUGGAGCUGGCGCUCCACUUCUUCCGACUCCUCCCACCGGAUACAAUGUGAACAUUGCACUUUCUCAUGCACGGAAUGAAGUGCACUGCCUGAAAAGGCAAGUGAGCGAACUCACCGCUCACACUGAAACUGUGAAGUUCGAAUUGACCAACAUGUUAAAAGGCAAAGAUCUUGCCUAUGAGCAGAUGGUUGACAAGAACCGAAAGAGGUUUUCAGACCUUAUCAGGGAGAACGAGGGUUUAUCUCUGAAGGUCAGAGAGACCGAACAACUCGUUGUCAAAAAUGCUGAACUCAUGGUCAAAGUAACAGGGUUACUCUCCACCAACAACUCUCUUCAAGAGAAGCUGCACAAGCAGCAGGCCAACAACCAACAGUUGGAAGCAGAACACAAACUGCUGAAGAUCAAGACAGAGGCUCUGGAUGAGACUAUCAGGGAGAACGAGGGUUUAUCUCUGAAGCUCACCGAGACCACAAAAGAACUUUCUGUCAAAAGUGCUGAACUCACGGUCAACAACGAGACCUGGCAGCAGAAAUAUGAAGAUCUGGAGAAAAAGACAACCAAGAAACUGGAUGACCAACAACAGUCAUUGGAGUCUAAAGUAACAGGGUUACUCUCCACCAACAUUUCUCUUCAAGAGAAGCUGCACAAGCAGCAGGCCAACAACCAACAGUUGGAAGCAGAACACAAACUGCUGAAGAUCAAGACAGAGGCUCUGGAUGAGACUAUCAGGGAGAACGAGGGUUUAUCUCUGAAGCUCACCGAGACCACAAAAGAACUUUCUGUCAAAAGUGCUGAACUCACGGUCAACAACGAGACCUGGCAGCAGAAAUAUGAAGAUCUGGAGAAAAAGACAACCAAGAAACUGGAUGACCAACAACAGUCAUUGGAGUCUAAAGUAACAGGGUUACUCUCCACCAACAUGUCUCUUCAAGAGAAGCUGCACAAGCAGCAGGCCAACAACCAACAGUUGGAAGCAGAACACAAACUGCUGAAGAUCAAGACAGAGGCUCUGGAUGAGACUAUCAGGGAGAACGAGGGUUUAUCUCUGAAGCUCACCGAGACCACAAAAGAACUUUCUGUCAAAAGUGCUGAACUCACGGUCAACAAUGAGACCUGGCAGCAGUUGGAAGCAGAACACAAACUGCUGAAGACACAGAGGGAUUCUCUGGCUGCUUUAAUAAAGAGCCAAGAGGAGACCCGCCACGAGAUGGUCACAAUCAGUGAUUUCACUGAGUUGUGCCUGACCUCUAGGAUCCAACAACUGGAGGAUACCAUCUCCAAAGAACAUCAGAUCCUUAUCACCAGGAUCCAAGAAUUAGAGGACGACAAAACAGUCCUUGAAAACAUCUGCCUCGACUUAAAAAAAAAAAAAAGAGGCAUCUUUGGGAGACGGAUGCAAGACCGGCAGACGGAGAUGGACAAAAUGAGGCGCAAGAUGCAGGACAAGGAGACAAAGAAAUAGGAGAGAGAAGAGAAGAAAAAGGAGACCAUUCAGGACCUG